rnacentral:rRNA from 1 species
AACGAACGCUGGCGGCAUGCCUAACACAUGCAAGUCGAACGAAGUCUUCGGACUUAGUGGCGCACGGGUGCGUAACGCGUGGGAAUCUACCCUUAGGUUCGGAAUAACUCAGAGAAAUUUGAGCUAAUACCGGAUAAUGUCUUCGGACCAAAGAUUUAUCGCCUUUGGAUGAGCCCGCGUUAGAUUAGGUAGUUGGUAGGGUAAAAGCCUACCAAGCCGACGAUCUAUAGCUGGUCUGAGAGGAUGAUCAGCCACACUGGGACUGAGACACGGCCCAGACUCCUACGGGAGGCAGCAGUGGGGAAUAUUGGACAAUGGGCGAAAGCCUGAUCCAGCAAUGCCGCGUGAGUGAUGAAGGCCUUAGGGUCGUAAAGCUCUUUUACCAGGGAUGAUAAUGACAGUAC